rnacentral:rRNA from 1 species
UACGGGGGGGGCAAGCGUUGUUCGGAAUUACGGGGCGUAAAGGGCUCGUAGGCGGCCAACUAAGUCAGACGUGAAAUCCCCAGGCUCAACCUGGGAACUGCGUCUGAUACUGGAUGGCUUGAAUCCGGGAGAGGGAUGCAGAAUUCCAGGUGUAGCGGUGAAAUGCGUAGAUAUCUGGAGGAAUACCGGUGGCGAAGGCGGCAUCCUGGACCGGCAUUGACGCUGAGGAGCGAAAGCCAGGGGAGCAAACGGG